CAGUCGCCGCGGUAAUACGUAGGGUGCGAGCGUUAAUCGGAAUUACUGGGCGUAAAGCGUGCGCAGGCGGUUUUGUAAGACAGGCGUGAAAUCCCCGGGCUCAACCUAGGAAUUGCAUUUGAUACUGUUUGGCUUGAGUUCGGGAGAGGUGAGUGGAAUUCCCAGUGUAGAGGUGAAAUUCGUAGAUAUUCGGAAGAACACCAGUGGCGAAGGCGACUACCUGGUCUGGCAUUGACGCUCAGGCGCGAGAGCGUGGGGAGCAAACAGGAUUAGAUACCCCCGUAGUCCCUGUCUCUUAUAC
rnacentral:rRNA from 1 species